rnacentral:lncRNA from 1 species
CUCAUCAGAAGUUACAGAAAUUUAAUUUACAAAAAAAAAAGUUACAGAAAUUUAUAAAAAAAAAGCAACCUAUCAAAUUUUCGAACUUCAGAUAUGUUUCUUUUCAAGGUUGGAUUUUUUGAUGUUUUAGCUAUAUAUAAUUCGGUUGACAAUGUAAAAUGUUAAACAAUGGAAAUGAUUGUGAUAUUGGAUUUUCAAUGGAAAUGGAAAUGACUAAUGAUUGUGUUAAUUCGGUUGAAAAUGGAAAUGACUAUGAAUUUUCAAAUUUUCGAAUUUAAGCUGCCA